rnacentral:SRP_RNA from 1 species
CGGCAGGCCCUGUGCGAUUGGGGCCUGUGAACCAUGUCAGGCGGGGAACCGAGCAGCAUUAAGCAGUGUUUCCGAUGCGAUAC